rnacentral:rRNA from 1 species
AACGAACGCUGGCGGCAUGCCUAACACAUGCAAGUCGAACGAGACCUUCGGGUCUAGUGGCGCACGGGUGCGUAACGCGUGGUAACCUGCCCUUAGGUUCGGAAUAACUCCCCGUAAGGGGUGCUAAUACCGGAUAAUGUCUUCGGACCAAAGAUUUAUCGCCUUUGGAUGGGCCCGCGUUGGAUUAGCUGGUUGGUAGGGUAAAAGCCUACCAAGGCGACGAUCCAUAGCUGGUCUGAGAGGAUGAUCAGCCACACUGGAGCUGAGACACGGCCCAGACUGCUACGGGAGGGAGCAGUGGGGAAUAUUGGACAAUGGGGGAAGGCCUGAUACAGCAAUGCCGCGUGAGUGAUGAAGGCCUUAGGGUUGUAAAGCUCUUUUACCCGGGAUGAUAAUGACAGUACCGGGAGAAUAAGCACCGGCUAACUCCGUG